rnacentral:lncRNA from 1 species
CACACACCUUGUACAUUGAUUUGUUGAAAACAAACAUUAAAAUCACAAUAAAGUAAAUAGAGAUUGGAUAUUUAUUAAAUCAUCACAUGAAGAUAGGAACCAAACAACAACACACACAUCUUACAUUAAUUUGUUGAAAGAAAACAUUAAAAUUAAAAUAACAAUACAACAAAGACAUGAUCGUCUAAAAAAAACACAAGAUAUAUGGGGCAAACAACCAAGUGUCAGCCUACGACAUAUAUUGAACAACAAUAACAUGAGUUUUGGCAUAUAUUGAACCAUAUUGAGACCAUAUAUGCACAAUUAGAAAAAACUGAUUUAAUGAAAAAGAUCUAGAAAGAACAAGAUAUGAAAUUUGUUUCUCUAAUUAAUCACAAUUUAGUGAGAUUUAUAGAGAUUUCUUAUUUUUUCUGUUACUAAUCUUUGUCACUAUUUCAUUUGUUCUAAAAGUGAUGCAUGAUCAUAUAUAGUAUUAUAUUAUGCCAUGAAGAGUGGGCCAAUCUUCAUUGAUU